rnacentral:lncRNA from 10 species
GUAGUACAGUAAGCUGAAUAAUGACCCCCAGAUGUAACCAUGUUCUAAUUCUGAACCUGGAAAUGUUAACUUAUAAGGCAUAAGAGACUUUUUGGAUGUAAUUAAGUUUAAAAUGAAGAUGGGAAGCUCUUUCUGGAUUAUCCAGAUGACAUUUCACUGAGAAAAAGCAACAGAACUGGGCCACUGCAGACUAACCUGAACUAAAAUGAUUUGAGACUUUAUAACGGGCAAAAAAGAGACAUUUUUAUUAGCAAAAUUGCCACAUUUUAACUCUGCCUGCCCUGAAUUUUAUUCAUGAGCCUUUGACCAUUAAAGCAAUGCUUGUCAAUCUCUCUUCACUGAUGAUGUGAUUCUAUACAAAGAAAAUCCUAAAGACUCCUUCAAAGGCUCCUGGAAGUGACAAAUGAUUUCAGUAAAGUUUCAGGAUACAAAAUCAAUGUAGAAAACUCAGUAGCAUUUCUAUACACCAAUAACAUUCAAGCUGAAGGCCAAAUCAAGAAUGUAAUCUCAUUUACAGUAGCCACACCAGUAAUAAUAAUAAUAAUAAUAAUAAUAAUACCACCUUGGAAUAUAUCUAACCAAGGAGUUAAAAGGCCUCUACAAGGAGAACUACAAAACAACACUGAAAAAAAUCAUAGAUGACAUAAACAAAUGGAGAAAUAUUCCAUGCUCAUGGAUUGGAAGAAUCAAUAUUAUUAAAAUGGCCAUACUGCCAAAAGUCAUCUACAGAUUCAACACUAUUCCUAUCAAACUACCAGCAUCAUUGUUCACAGAAUUAGAAAAAACUAUUCUAAAAUUCUUAUGGAACCAAAAAUGAGCCCAAAUUGCCAAAGCCAUCCUAAGCAAAAAAGAACAAAGCCAGAGGCAUACAUUACCCACUUAAAACUAUAGCAUAAAGCUACAGUAACGAAAACAGCAUGGUACUGAUACAACAACAGAUACACAGAUGAAGGGAACAGGUUAGAGAACCCGGAAAUAAACUGCACUUCUACAACCAUCUGAUCUUUGACAAAGUCAACAAAAAUAAGCAAUGGGGAAAAGACUUCCUAUUCAAUACAUGGUGCUGGGAUAGCUGGCUAGCCAUAUGCAGAAAUAUGAAAGUGGACUCCUACCUUUCACCAUAUACAAAAAUUAAUUCAAGAUGGAUUAAAGAUUUAAAUGUAAGAACUCAAACUUUAAGAAUCCUAGAAGAAAACCUAGGAAACACCAUUCUGGACAUUGGCCUUGGAAAAGAAUUUAUGACUAAGUCCUCAAAAGCAAUUGCAACAAAAACAAAAAUUAACAAGUGAGACCUAAUUAAGUGAAACAGCUUCUGCACAGCAAAAGAAACUAUCAACAGACAACCUACAGAAUAAGAGAAAAUAUUCAUAACCUAUGCAUCUGACAAUAGACUAAUAUCCAAGAUCUAUGAAGAACCCAAACUAACAAGCAAAAAUCAAAUAACCCCCUUAAAAAAGGAAUUAAAGACAUGAACAGAUACAUCUCAAAAGAAGACAUACAAACAGCCAACAAACAUGAGAAACAAGCAUGAAAAACAAACAUGAAGAAAGGUCAUCAUCACUAAUCAUCAGAAAAAUGCAAAUCAAAAC